UUAUUCUUCACAACAGUCCUAUGGGAUAGGUAUCAUUUUUAUUUACAUUUUACCAGUGAGGAAACUGGAGCACAGAGAGGUUAAAUCAUAUGCCCAAGGUCUCACAGCUAGAAAGUGACAGGGCCAGGACUCAAUCAAAGUGGUUUGGCUCCAGAGGCACCACCACGUUAUCAUCACACCAGUUGGGUCUCAAAUGGGAUAUCACAUUUGAGGAAGACACAUGGAGAAAAGAGUCUAAGCAAACAACAGAUGAACCAGAAGAGAGAAGAAACAAGGGGAUAACAGGCAAGUCCAUUCCAUCACCAGAGAGUCCUGCUGUUAACCGAUCGCCAGUGGGUUGCCUACCCUUUCCCCCAGGGAUCUCUAGCUCCUUCUUGCACCGGCACUGUCAGGUCUUUUCUGUACUUUGUUGGAUUCAAGAGACUGGACAAUCUGCAAGAUAAGUCUUACCGAAGAUGCCUUUCACACUAGCAGUAAGGCCAUGGAGGAAGGACAGAGUGAAUCAUGGAGAAAGAACAUCCCAUCUUACCACCCAAUACAAUUAUGCAGUUGUGGAAGUAGAACUGGAACUCUGGGAGAGAUUUCUAUGGAUAGACCAGAAGCCUACCAGUACAGGAUGUUUGGGUACAGGUGAGGCUAAUUUGAGUUGUGGAAGCUGAGAAGUCCAAGAUCAAGGUGCCAGCAGAUU
rnacentral:lncRNA from 1 species